UGGGGGAUAUUGCACAAUGGGCGAAAGCCUGAUGCAGCGACGCCGCGUGGGGGAUGAAGGCUUUCGGGUUGUAAACCUCUUUCGCUAUCGAACAAGGCCCGCUUAGGGUGGGUUGAGGGUAGGUGGAGAAGAAGCGCCGGCUAACUACGUGCCAGCAGCCGCGGUAAUACGUAGGGCGCGAGCGUUGUCCGGAAUUAUUGGGCGUAAAGGGCUUGUAGGCGGCUUGUUGCGCCUGCUGUGAAAACGCGGGGCUUAACUUCGCGCGUGCAGUGGGUACGGGCAGGCUUGAGUGUGGUAGGGGUGACUGGAAUUCCAGGUGUAGCGGUGGAAUGCGCAGAUAUCUGGAGGAACACCGAUGGCGAAGGCAGGUCACUGGGCCAUUACCGACGCUGAGGAGCGAAAGCAUGGGUAGCGAACAGG
rnacentral:rRNA from 1 species